GACAGAGGGUGCAAACGUUGUUCGGAAUCACUGGGCGUAAAGCGCGUGUAGGCGGCUUUGCAAGUCGGAUGUGAAAGUCCACGGCUCAACCGUGGAAGUGCAUCCGAAACUGCAUGGCUGGAGUCUCGGAGAGGAAGGUGGAAUGCUUGGUGUAGAGGUGAAAUUCGUAGAUAUCAAGCAGAACACCUGCGGCGAAGGCGGCCUUCUGGACGAUGACUGACGCUGAGACGCGAAAGCGUGGGGAGCAAACAGG
rnacentral:rRNA from 1 species